GCAGUAGCCGCGGUAAUACGGAGGGGGCUAGCGUUGUUCGGAAUUACUGGGCGUAAAGCGUACGUAGGCGGUUUUGUAAGUUAGAGGUGAAAGCCUGGAGCUCAACUCCAGAAUUGCCUUUAAGACUGCCGAGCUAGCAGGUGAGAGAGGUAAGUGGAAUUCCGAGUGUAGAGGUGAAAUUCGUAGAUAUUCGGAAGAACACCAGUGGCGAAGGCGACUCGCUGGACAAGUAUUGACGCUGAGGUGCGAAAGCGUGGGGAGCAAACAGGAUUAGAUACCCCAGUAGUCCCUGUCUCUUAUAC
rnacentral:rRNA from 1 species